rnacentral:rRNA from 1 species
GACGAACGCUGGCGGCGUGCUUAACACAUGCAAGUCGAACGGUGAAGGGACCAGCUUGCUGGUUCUGGAUGAGUGGCGAACGGGUGAGUAACACGUGAGUAACCUGCCCCCUUCUUCUGGAUAACCGCAUGAAAGUGUGGCUAAUACGGGAUAUUCUGGGUCUGUCGCAUGGCGGGCCCGGGAAAGAUAUUGCUUCGGUGGGGGAUGGGCUCGCGGCCUAUCAGCUUGUUGGUGGGGUGAUGGCCUACCAAGGCGGUGACGGGUAGCCGGCCUGAGAGGGUAGACGGUCACACUGGGACUGAGACACGGCCCAGACUCCUACGGGAGGCAGCAGUGGGGAAUAUUGCACAAUGGGCGCAAGCCUGAUGCAGCGACGCCGCGUGAGGGAUGGAGGCCUUCGGGUUGUAAACCUCUUUCGCCAGUGAAGCAGGCCUGCUCCUUGUGGGUGGGUUGACGGUAGCUGGAUAAGAAGCGCCGGCUAACUACGUG